UGACAGUGCUUGGCUCCAUCCAGGUUUCUCCCUGCCGCAUUCGUGCUCACGGCUCCCUAUCCUCCCUCCUGCUCACCACACACCUUUUUCUUUCUUUCACCUUUCGGGCACCCGAACCCUUUUUCCAUUCUCCCCUCUCACUUCCAUCGUUCUAUCACCCCCCACCGCACUCCAUCCCACCCCUCGCGCCCAAGCUCAGAUUUUUUACUUUGCGUGCCGAGGCCGCAUCCGGUGGUGUAGAAGAAGCGCCUCAAGGACAGGCAAGAGAAAGGGUGGUCCGGCUUUCUCUCUGCGCGUAGCUUUCCUCAUCAGAUACCCCUUCAAGUUUCGCUUCGUUUUUCUUUUUGUCUUUUUCGCGUACAUCUUUCUUUCACACCCACUGAGUGGCCAUAUACUCCCCCCCUCUCUCUCUGCUACGGAGGCUCUCUUCACCUCUGCACAAACCUUUAUUGUUAUCUUUUCUUGCUCCAGUUGGCUUUUCGGGUUGGCUGGCCCUCUUGAUUCCCUCACGCAACCCCCACUAUUUCUUCAUUGCGUUCGAUUUUGAGUAGCUCACUGUUGCCGUUCUUCUCUGUCUGUCGUGCACUAAAACAGUGACGCAGGGUCGCCGUUUUUCUCUCUCACACACACACUCACAUACUUACAGGACUGCCCAAACUUGUGUCAUUUGUGGCAGUCGCUCGCUGCACGGCGCCGCACCACUAUCGCGCCCCUCCCUCCGUUUUCGUUUCCCGCUCGUUUUCCCGGCAUCUCGUCACCCGAACACUUAGCGGUUCACCAUGCCCUCCUGGACUGCAACGAAGCCAGCUCCAAACCGGCCGGUAGGGCAGGAGACGCAGGCGCCUGGCGCGACGAAGCCUGCUGGCGCUCCGUCAGCACCGGAGGCUAGAACGAUCUCCGCAAACGGCAACGCUUUCGUCUCCGCUGCUCCAGCCAAUGCUGGCGCCAAGCCAGUCAUCGGCUACCGUGCUUUCCCUCAGAGCGGUGGCGUCAGGGGGCCUGCAGUCAACAUCAUACCUGGUCCGCGGCCCCCGCAGCUGCAGCAGCCAAAGGGCAACUCCAUGAUGAUCGGCAGCGGCUACGGCAACUCGAUGUACCGCCCCAGCAACAUGAGAGGCUAUGCCAGCAUGUGCGACUUCGGCGGCAUGAGCUCUACGCAGCCCGGUGGCUUCAUGUACGGCAAUCAGAACUUUAUGGCCAGCGGCUUCGGCUCCCUGCGUGGGGGCCAGGACGACAUGGGUAGCUACGGCUCUAUGGGUGGCGGCGUUUCGAUGUACGGUGGGAUGGGCUGCAAAUCGAUGGCCUCCUCGUACGGCAUGAGUGGUUCGAUGGGCUGGAUGUACGGCAUGGGCGGCAACCCGAUGGUCUCCCUAUACGGCAUGGACGGUCCGGUGGGCUUCAUGUAUGGCAUGGGGUGCCCCACGGGUUCGAUGUACGGCAUGGGCGGCACGGGCUACAUGAUGCCACGCUCCAUGAGCUUCUCCUCUUACGGUGGCAGAAACAUAUGCGGCUCGAUAGGCGGCAGCUCGCUCAUGAAGAUUGGCGGCAGCGCUUACAGAAUUGGCGGCAUGUGGGGUGCGGAGUCGGGCUCCCAGGUGCGUCGGCAUCCCGACUGCGACAUGCCGACCGUGGCAAAGGCUCUGCAGGACGACGGCGAGACGCGCAGGUGCCUGGCUCUCACUACCGCAACAAAUCAGACGGAUACGGACAACCAGCUGCACGUGAAGGGUGCUGCUGCUGCCGCGGCCAACGGCGCCAAGGCCGCGGAGGAGGACAAGGAGGUGGCGAGCGAAGACACGUCGAAGUCGAAGGGGGACGACCACGCGGACGAGAGGGCGAAGCAGGAGAUCAAGUCGCGGGCGGCGUCCUCGCCGCCGGCCGUCGACGGCGAAGUCUCCGCCGCAAACGCCAACGAGGACAAGGGUGGGAUCACGCUCAGCAACGGUAUCGAUGGCAUCGUUAUAGUCGAGAACGCCAAGAGCACAACGUUAGCGGUGGAGAGGGAGGAAGCGGGUCACAAGGUGUCACUGAAAAUGGCGACUGGCGAGCCAGCGGAAUGCAAGGUGAGCGAGGUGAUGGAGGGCGCCGACGCGGACAUGAGCAAAUCCGCCGUGCUGAACACCGUUUCGACACACCUGCUCAGCGGCCACAAUGUCGCCUUGAUCGCCGUUGACAGAGGAGAGAAAAUGUCGGCAGCCGUGGAGAAUGCCAUCUUCACAUUCUACGCGGGAUCACUUGGGAAGCUGGUGGGAGACCACAAGUGGAAGGCGACCUUCUCCGCGUCAGCGAUCUCGGGUGCGACCAACUACCGAGACUUGCAAGACGACGCGGCGCCGGCGGCCCCGCCGAAGGUCAUCGCGUUCGGCUCAAACCCCAUCUGCGGCGCCUGCAUCAUGGACCUCAAGAAGGUGACAUUGAAGGACGCGGAGACGGUAGCAGUGCACGUGAAGGGUGUUCUGGGGAAAAAUACGCACCCGCAGGAGAUUCUGUUCAUGCAAGCCAUCUUGCGCAUCCACACGGAGAAGGACUUGUUCAUCUGCUCCAUGAACGCCUACGUCGUGCGCGACACCGAGACGGCGGAGGCCUUGGCGAUCCUCGACGACCGCCGCGUGCCAGUUCCAGUGCUGCGCCCCGCCAUCGGCGGGCCGACGCGCACAACCGCCGUCCUGUUCCUCUCCGGCGCUGCCCCGGCGGCGGCGGAGGCAGAAGCGUUGCGCCUCAUGGGCACCCUCUGCACUAAGGAGAGCUCGCCGCCUCGCAGCGGUAAUGUGCAGCGCUUCAUCGAGUACGCGGACGAGCAGAUCAGGAAGAUCGGGGACGUGGCAAAUCUCAGCAGCGCUGAGAAGGACCGCUGCGCGUACAUGGUGGAGAAGAUGCGGACAAUGGCGAGCGAUGCAAGGGAGCUGAUCGGCAACAUGGAGAUGGAGCCAAACGUGUACCCUAUUCAUAGCAAGAGCGACGCCCCCAGCGUGGCCGCGCUGGCAGCAGCUGACAAGGAGAGCAAUGCCAAAGAGGCCGCUGCGGUGACCGAAGCCACCAAGGCGGGCGACAUCGCCGCGAACGGGAAGCCGACGCUGGCGGCCGUCCCCAACUGCAAGGUGCAGACUGCGGAGAAGCAGGCACCGCAGUCGAAGACGGACGCGGCGACACCGGCGGCACCAGCGAACCCCUUCAGCUCCAUCCACCGUCUAGCGUACCUGCAAGACGCCAUGACGCCGUCUAUCGGCAAGAUGGCGCAGGUGGUCGUGAACGGCGAGAUAAAAGUGUAUGACGUGGACGAGUGCAUUGAAAGCCCUGCCGGCGCCAAUGUGCACGCGGUGGAGGAGUCCAACGAGCUGAGGCGCAUGGCGGCCUUGUUAGCCGCUGGCUUCAAUGUCGCCCUGCUCGGCGCGGAGUUCACGGAGCCGACGCGACCGAAUGCGCAGAUGACGUGGCAGUCCGUGAGACUCUUGCUCACGUUGGUGCUCAAGUCUGCCGAGCCGGAGACGGCGACGGAGGCGACGCUGCACAUGUCCGUGGUGCACGAGCACGAGGUCCUGGCGGACCUGGGCUCCGGCGACACAACACCGCAUCCCCUGGUGGUGGCCAUGUCGCCCCUCUUUGGGCCCGUGGUGCACGGCAGCGCCGGCGUAAAGGCCAGCACGCCGGAGGAGUUGGAGGAGGUGAUGAGCAAGGCACUCGCCAACGCCCAGCCGGCGCUGAAGGAUGGCGCCAUGAUUGUGAUGACGGCGGUGGUGCGGCAGAACCGCCACGACGAUGUGAUGGUGGCCUCCGUCUUCGCCGUCUCGGCGGCGGACCUGCGCCCGUACACGAGCGUUCUUGAGCACAACCCGAGUUAUUCCCGAACUCUCUUUUCCUGCGCCCUCGGUGGCCCGUCGUCCACUGGCGUUCUCAUCACAGCAUCCCGAAAAAUGGAUUUGUCGGAGCUGGCGAACGCGUUCAGCAUGCAGUGCAGCGUGGCUCACGUUGGAGUACCGGCCUCGCGCCGCGGGAGCGUGAGGGAGCUCAUCCAGUAUGCACGCGGCUCGCUGGAGCGGCAAAAGAAGAAAGUGGCCGCGGCGACGGAGCCGGCAGAGAGGGAGGCGGCGGAGAAGAGUUUACGUCGCCUCUCGGAGAGCCUGCGCGACCACGAGGAGCUGUUGGCAAACCCGAAGACCGCUGAGGCCAAAGCCUACCCACCCGAGCCUGUUGCAGCAGGUGCGUUGUCGCCGACGGCAAGGGAGCGCCCGGGCCGGGCGGCGACACCGCCGGAGUUGCCGCAGUUUCAGGAGCGUGCCGCCGAACCCCAGCAUGAGGAGACACAAAAGGGCACCACGAGGGUGACCCCAGAUACGGAACCAGCACCGCAGCCACAGGAGGCCAAGCCCGAGAAGGCACAGUCGCUGCAAGCGCAACAGACGGAGGAGCCGAAACCGCAGGAGGAAGAGUCGCGGAAGCUGAAGCCCGCCAAGGAGCAGCGGACGGUACGGCAAGAGAACACAUCCGAGGAGAAGCCGCAGGAAGUCGUGCAGGAAGACAACACGCAAGCGGUGCAGAUCCUGGCCGUCAUCACGGAGGACAUCGGCAGUAGCUUGCCGGUGAAAGAGGGCUGGUCGGUAGAGGGGAGCGACGAGCAGCUCGUCGUCACGGAUGUCCAGGGGCCGCACAGCUUCCUGGUGGACGAGGUGGUAGUUCGGCAGAACCGCGGCUCGCCCAUCGACUCAAAAGUGCUCGAGGAGCUGCGCCACCGGUUCCUGCAGGGCAACAAUGUAGCCCUCCUCACCACCGAGGCGCGCGGCUCUGUGGCGAGCCUGGAGAUGGUGGACCGCACGGUGCGCCGCAUUCUGGACAAGAUGCCGCCGUCCAACUCGCUCUUUAUGUCGCUCUGUGCACUGAAGGAGAAGGAGAACAUCGUACUCGACACGCUCACCGACGGGGGCGAGUUCCACACUGCUGAACUAAACGUGUCGCCCCUGUUCGGCCCGUCGGUGGCCGGCGCCAACUUCGUAAAGGUUAGCAUGGUGGAACAGUUCUCGAAGCUGAUGGGCGGUGGCCUUCGCAAGUGCGGUGAGAGUCGGGCGUGUGUCCUACUACAGCUCGUGCAGGUGGAGAUUAAGGAGGAGCAGCAGGACGCCAACGUGUCUUCGCUUCUCGCCCUCAUGUGCCCCAGCGACACCUCCAUCUACCGCCAUGCGCUGGACCAGCCAGUCAAGGAGCGCGGGCUGCUCUCCCUGGUCUUCAGCGGUUCUUGUUACACGGUCUUCGCCGCCGGCCUGACGAAGCAGCCGGUCGACGAGGGCUGCCUGAUUUUCCUGCGCCUCGCGCAGGCCUUCAAGGACUCGGUGCGCGACUUCAAGCCACGCGGUGGCAGUGUGAAGUGCUUCAUUGAGCACACUCACAGAGCUGUCGCGCAUAUGCAGCAGAACUGUCAGCGCGCCACCUCCGACGAGGACAAGGCGAAGAUGCAGGCAUGCAUCGACGCGGUGAAGUUUAUACUGGAGCAGUCCGAGGCCUACCUGGCGGACCCCGUUAACAAGAUGCCACCGAGCUUCCCCGACGUGCGCGAGCGCCGUAAGCGCUAGGGCACUUUCGUCGGCCUGUGCCGGCUUUGCGUCUGCCCGUGAAUGUGUUGCCGAGCGCUGAUUUAUGUUUGUCCUAUCGCGUGUGCUUGUCUUGUUCCGCUUGGCGCAAGUCAUCCUCCGGCCUUGAUGCCAGUCGUCCAUGCGGCCGUUCCCUCUUCCUCGUUGUUGGAGAGAUUUGGACGCUCUCUCGUCCACGUCUCUGUGUGCCGUUUUUUGUUGCUGCUCCUCUUCUUCACGCAUGGGCUCUUCCGUCUAUUUCUUGCUUUUUCCGUCUUUGGUUUUCGCGUGCAUGUCUGCACGCGCACACCGAGGGGCCGGCUGUGUUUCUCGUUUCACGGAGCUGUGCACCUGUGAUGCCGCCUGCCGCUAUUCUGGAUUUUCGACGACGGGGAAGAAGGAGAAAAGGGUGCCACGGCGAAAGGGACAGGAAGAUGAUGGAGAUGCCUUCUCUACCUUUCGCCUUUUUAUCCAUGGCCACAGGUGGUGGCGGAGGGGACGGAAAACCAUGCGUGCGCGAUGUCGUGAUGGACAGGAAAUGGAACGUAGGUGGCGCAGCGCGAGGGCUGCUCGUUUUUCUUUGUUUGAGGGCGUAAGGAGAGAGCGGGGAGAGUGUAUUGGGAGGGGAAAGGGAGGACAAGUUUUCCCCCAUCUCUCCUCACCUUUCUUUUCCCUGCACGCCCCGCCCAACACCCACACUGCUGAAGCCCCGGACCAGCUUCAUUGGCAUUUCUCUCUCUUUCCUCUCUUGUGUAGUUUGUGAGUGCACCAAAGACCUUGUAGCGGCUUGUUGCGUGGAUACGCACAUGUCACCGUCUUCGCCAUCUCCCUUUCCGUAUCGUGCCGCUCGCUGCCCCCCCCCCCCCCCAUUGUCUUCCCCCUGCAACACUCCUCCUGCUCUCCUCUUCCCGCAUCGGCGCGUGUGUUUCCUUCUCUCGCUUUCCUAGGCACUGCGUUCUAGCAUGUGCCUUGCUCAUUGUCGUCUGAAACCUGCACUGCAGGAUAGGGACUGAGGGACUAGAAACAAGAUGAAAGAGGGAGGGAGGAGGGGUGCCGUCUCGUACCCUGCUUCCUUGUUCGUCUCAUGGAGUGUGAGGUGCUGCCAUCAGCGUAGUGGAUCUGUUUGCCUUUUGUUUCUUUGCUGUGGUUGCCGUUACUUGCGUCACCGUGACAUUCACGUAUGUGGUGAAGGGUACGUUUCUGCGUGCGUGCGAGUACAUGUAUGCGCAUGCCGUGCACCACUUUCUUAAGUGCUUACAUAUAUAUAUAGAGAGAGAGAUGGCGUAAUCAUCUUGUGUAUCGUUUUCUUCUUUUCGUAUCCGCGUGUCAGUGUUGGGUCUCUGGCUCUGUGUCUGCGUAUUUCUUCUUUGCAUCUUUUUGGGUAUGUUGUUUCUCCUUUAUCUCUUUUUUUUGUGUGUGUGUCUUUUUUUUGCCGGUGCUUCUGUCCUGCCCCCUCCCUCCCCGCCGCAUCUCCAUGAUGGCUGCUCUUCAUGUGUUCGUUGUUCUCCCAUCCCUUGUUUUGCGGUUUGUCCGCUUCUCCUGCUCGUCCUUGUCUUAUUGUCCCUCUGCCCAUGUUUUUGGGCACGCGCGUGUGCGUGGGUGGCAUGACGCCGCGGCGAUGCAAUACAACAACAGCUUGUCAAACAAAGAAAACAAGAGAGAAAAAGCUGCACAACAAAAAAUUCUAAUAAAACGAGAGAGAAGUGACACUGGAUGUGGGGACUGGAAAUGGAUCCUCUCCGCGUGGGCGAAGCAGGCCAGGGAUGCGCCUUCGAUCUCGAAAAAAAAAGAAAUGAGAAGUAUCACAGAGUCAGCGUGUGCAUGUGUGUGAACGUCAGAUGCAUGGAGAUGGUGCUGGUUGGAGGGGGAAGCAGGAGGCGAGUGGCGGGCAUUGACACAUUUUCCUGUAUAGCACAAACUCCUUUCCUCUCUUCAGCGCCUUCUCAGUCUCUUCAAGCGCCCGUUUUUUUUUUGUCCCGGGCGUUGAGGGUAUCGCGCACCGAUGCCGCCUCUUGUUUCUUUCCCUUCUUGAGUUCUUGUCCCGCAUUCAGUACCGCUAUUCCCUGCGCGAUCGUCGCCGCCUUCCUCAAAGUACCAAACUUUUCUCCGCCUCUACCCUUACUCUGGUGAGAUCGACGACGGUGAGAAAGGGCUGACGAUACAGCAGCGCGAAUCACGGGUGGCUGACACCUCCAUCGUUCUUUUUUUUGCGUCUUUCUGUCGAUUUUGUUACAACGGAAAACAUGCGCACAAGCCAUGUGUCACCUCCUUCCCUCUUGCUGUGCAUGUGUAUCUCUACGUUCGUGCGCGUGACUCUUUCUGUGCUGGUUUAUCAUUAUUAAUAUCCUCCCAUGCCGCCCCUGAUGACGGGAGACACCUCAGCCUGGUAUCUGAUGGCCGAGAACCCCACUCUCUGUGAGUGGAAGUCAGGCAGCCCGCCCUAUCCCUGCUGAUACCGCAACACCUCUGGUGGUGCCAAGGCCAUGCACCUACGACGUAGGGUGGCCGGAGCAAUCUAUGACUGCUGAUGUCGGCGGCCAGGCCCUGGAUGACGCUGCGGCGGAGCCACCUGCUAUAGUGAACGCCUCUGUGCCAUCAAAAUGAUGCGCAGAGUGUCCUUGUGACUCGAACAUACCCCGCCCGGCCCUCUCAAUGCCCACUGGUGGUAGGCAGCCUGCGUGCUACCCCGAUGGGGAGGCAUCAUGCCGCGACGGGCAUGAUGGCGAAGCGGCUGCGAGGCGAUCUGCGAAGUGGCGGAUUGGUAGAUUUUGAUCCAAGGACAUUGCUCUGACGGUUGAGUCGGCGCAUUGUUGUAACACGCGUCUUCCGCUGCUGCGCACCACGUGAUGUGGGGCCUUGCGACAGGCCGGUGUGGAGUGAGGUUCAGAUCAUGUCCUAUGGCAGAGAAUGGUCACGGUGAAAGGAAAAGAUUCUUCUCUAUUUUUUGUUCUCUUUUGCCACGUCUCUACUCGGUGUGUGUGCGUGUUUUGCCCAUACCUGUCCCCCCUCUCCGUCCUCCUCUCUCUGUCCGUGUGUGCACACGGCACUACUACGUGUUUUACGUUGCUUUACGGUUUGCGUGUUUACUUAUCACGUAUGUGCGUCUCUUUUCAGCACCAGCCUUUUGCUCUCCCCGUUUUUCCCCCUCUCUUUUUAGUCCUCAUCACCUCCCCUCUCCAUUACUUUGCCUGUGCCCCUUUGCCUGGUUGUGUCUGGUGAUGUGCCUUUCGCGACUAUGGUGGACUGCGGUGCGGCUGGAAGUAUGAGAGGUCGUGCUUCUCUCACCUUUUCGUUUGUGAUGUCUCUUUCUUGCUAACGUAUUCCCCCCUGCUUGCUUGUCGGUGCACUCGCCCUCGCUCACACGUAUACGCAUAUUUGACAGCUGCCGUGUCUCUCCCCCUCUGUCCCUUCUCAGCGUGUUCAUUUUUGCUCUGUUGACGUGGCUAUACGACGCUUCAGAGGCCUCUCCGCCUCUCCGUCCUCCCUCUAUCUCUGUGUGUGCGCGCGUGCGUGUGCGCGUGUGUGUGGUCUCUUGUUUUUGUGUCUCUGCUUUUUUCUUAUCGCGUUUCAGCUGCAAGCAUGCCUGCGGCGCGGCUGGCGCUUUUAUUCGCCUCCCUAUGUGAGUUGUUGCUCUCUCUCCUUGUCUUUCCUGUGGAAGAGCAUCACCCGUACCAGACAUCGACAGCGAUGCAAGGAAGAGUGUAGCUACCGACGCACAACUUGCCAAUAUGAUGGCUCGCGAUCCUCUCUGCGCGCGGAGAGGAUCCGCACGAGACGAGCAAGGAGAUGGAGAGGAUGGGCAGAAUACCUCCUGUAGGGCUGUGCUUUCGCGCUGGGGCAAGAACGCAGGUGUGAGGAGAGAUGGAGCGUGGUAAGAAGGCCUUUGCGUGUCCGUUUCUCUUUGUGCCUUUUGCCCUCUGUCUUUGCCUUCUCCUCUUCCUCAGUGCCGUGACUGCUCCUCUGCUCGGCCCCCUCCACUAGCGGGGCUUGCACACACACACACACACACACACAGCACAGGCUCAGCUAUGCCGCGUAGAGAGGGCGCUUUCGCUGCCUUUUCCACAUGAACAACA
rnacentral:misc_RNA from 1 species